AGUGCCGUCUUGUUGUUUGUUGCUGUUGUUUGUUGCUGUUGUUUUGCAUGUAUAGGGAACAGAGGUGCAGAAAGGAGAGACCAGGAGGCAGUUAAUGUGUUUUAAUGUCUUCUGCAGGUGAAACACCAGGAAGCUGUAUUCACCACUUCAUGAUCAGCAUUGAGGGGCAUGACCUUUGUGAGGGCACCCAGCCAGCUGACCGUGCUCAUUGCAGUCUUUUCUACUCACUACAACUUCAAUCUUCAGUCCCAAGAUGACGCUGCAUGCACACUGGAAUUCAUUCAAAGGGCCAUUCAUCGGGAUAAAUCCUGAGAGAGGCACCAAGGCUGGACGGGUCAAAGUCUUGGAAAAUGGGGAAGGUCACCCAGAAAAAGAUGGCAUCAGUCAACCCUUGUGUCUCUAGUCUACUAAAGAAAUUAAGGACUUUGAGUGAGACUCUACAUAAGUCAGUUCACGUACUCACACACACACACACACACACUGUUAGUGUCUUAGCCAUACUCUUUUUUCAAUUCACUUGGCCUCUCAUUCACUCCUUAAGUUGUUCCCUCAUACAAUCCUUUUGUACAACAGCUUAUGUUAGAGAUCCACUUGAUUAUUUUUGAUAAUAUUUCUUGUGUUUAUUUGUGUUCAGUGUUUAAUGUUCAUGCAGACUACAACACUUGUUAGAGAUCUUUUUUAAUUGACUGAAAUUUUGGUUUAUUUGCAUGUUGUGUUUUCACAAGUUUAAUAAAGAGAGACGUGGUUUGAAAAGACACUUUGAGUAUUUCAGUAUUAUUCGUCUUAAAAUUUUAAGUUGCAAUU